UACAGAGGUCCCAAGCGUUGUUCGGAUUCACUGGGCGUAAAGGGCGCGCAGGCGGCUCAUUUUGUCAGGCGUGAAAGCCCCGGGCUUAACCUGGGAACUGCGUUUGAUACGGAUGGGCUAGAGUUCGGGAGAGGAGCGUGGAAUUCCCAGUGUAGAGGUGAAAUUCGUAGAUAUCGGGAGGAACACCAGUGGCGAAGGCGGCGACCUGGGCCAAUACUGACGCUGAGGUGCGAAAGCGUGGGGAGCAAACAGG
rnacentral:rRNA from 1 species